UGCAUGGCCGUCGUCAGUUCGUACUGUGAAGCAUCCUGUAAGUCAGGCAACGAGCGAGACCCACGCCAACAGUUGCCCAGCUCGUCCUCCCGGGGAUGGUGGGGACACUGUUGGGACCGCCUCUGCUAAAGAGGAGGAAGGAAUGGGGCAACGGUAGGUCAGCAUGCCCCGAAUUAUCUGGGCCACACGCGGGCUACAAUGGGUGGGACAAUGGGUAUCGACACCGAAAGGUGAAGGCAAUCUCCUAAACCCAUCCGUAGUUCGGAUUGUGGGCUGCAACUCGCCCACAUGAAGCUGGAAUCUGUAGUAAUCGUGUCUCAAAUGGCACGGUGAAUAUGUCCCUGCUCCUU
rnacentral:rRNA from 1 species